AUGCAUAUGUUACAGUUUCUUUCAUUGUUCUGCAGAUCUUCCCCGCGAGGUGCUACAAAUCAGAUGGGCGCUGUCGUGAAGGCCGCGAAGGUGUGGCCGAUGGCACAGGUUAGCCUGUGGGUGGCACCAUCGUGCUGCUCUAGACGUGCAUUGUGGUGCUGCUCGUGGCGGCUUUCGGAGGGAGACAGAGUGCAGAACAUAGAGAGUUUGGGAGCUACUCGGGUUUGGAUCAGCAAGCCAUGUCUGUUUGGUUUGGCAAAGGAAGAUUUUAGCAGCAUUGCUACACCUCUCAAUGAGAUUACAAAGAAGGAUGUGCCUUUUGUUUGGGGUACCGCACAGGAAGAAGCCUUCACGGUGUUGAAAGAUAAGUUGACACAUGCUCCUUUACUCCAACUUCCUAAUUUUAAUAAGACAUUUGAGCUUGAAUGUGAUGCUAGUGGAAUUGGAUUAGGAGGUGUGUUAUUACAAGAUGGCAAACCUAUUGCAUACUUUUCUGAAAAAUUGAGUGGGCCUAGUCUGAAUUAUUCUACUUAUGAUAAAGAAUUAUAUGCUCUUGUUCGGACUUUAGAAACAUGGCACCAUUAUUUAUGGCCCAAAGAAUUUUUUAUACAUUCUGAUCAUGAAUCUUUGAAACAUAUUAAAAGUCAAGCUAAACUGAAUCGUAGACAUGCUAAAUGGGUUGAAUUCAUUGAGACUUUCCCUUAUGUCAUUAAACACAAUAAGGGUAAAGAAAAUGUUAUUGCUGAUGCAUUGUCUCGUCGCUAUACUAUGGUUUCACAACUUGACUUCAAAAUAUUUGGUUUGGAGACCAUCAAAGAUCAAUAUGAGCAUGAUGGUGAUUUUAAAGAUGUAUUGCAGAAUUGUAAAGAAGGGAGAACAUAG
rnacentral:rRNA from 1 species